UUGCACAUAUGUUGCAAAAAAAAAAGUUAUGCAUUACAGAAUUCACCUCAUCGCGUACAUUUUAACAACAAUAUAAAAUUAAAAAAAAGUCAAGGUUUGUUUAAGUUCCACGCAUGAGUUUCGUGAUUGGCUUAACAGCGUCAUCACUAUCUCAUACCAUUUUCCUCAUCACCAUGCCAUUUACAUAUUGUCAUACCCUCAUUUUCAUCCUAGCAUAUCAUCGCAUUCAUUAACAUAUCAUCUCAUUAGCAUAGCAUUUGGUUCUUGAUUCUCAAGCAUGGUUGAUCAUAAGUAGAAUACAAGACAUUGAUGACUAGGGUUUCCUUGAUGUUUUACCUUGUAUCAAAGUGGGCAAGAUGGACUUGGGAAGGUUUUGAUCUCAAGUCAAAAGGUAGAGGAACAAAGGAUCAUAAUCAAAACUUAUUCACUUUGGGAUUAGGGUUUCAUCAUGGUCUAAAGAGGAUCCAUUUGCUAUAUUUAGUCAAGUAUGGUUCAUGAGUUGAUUUCCAUGUUAUACCAUUCAAGCUUCAAGAUAUCAUCAUGGUCAAUCAAGUUUCAAUCAAUAUUUACUCAUUUGAUCCUCAAAUGGUCAUCAUUAUGCCUUGAGAUCCAAGAAAUUAUCAAAGAAUAAAAGUUAGUGCAUGGUUGGUUGGCCUAACUUCAAAGUUUGGCCUACCAUUUGGUCCAAACCCCAUAACUUUCUUAUUUCUCAACCUUUUGUAGAUCUAUUUCAAGAAAAAUUUCAAAAAUCAAAUCCUCUGCAACUUUGUUUCGAGACUUGGAACAUAAUUCAAUGCCUAAAGACCUCAAAUUUGGAAUUGGCCAAGAUAAGUCCAGUUGCCUAGGCAGACCCAAAACUAUGUCAUAACCACUACUUUACACCUAUGCCAUUUUCAACUCCAAUCUCCUUUUGCCCUAAUUCUUUUUGCAUCUUGUUAAGAUCAUGGCAAAGAGUGUUUAGCCUAAGUUUAGCCUAAAAUGCACGAGCCAAUUUCAUUUGGCCCAAGCCUAAACUCGGUGACCUGCCAAGGUGUGUGCACGAAAUCAUACCAAGCCAAACAACCAUUUUUUUAUGGUUCUAAGUCACCAAAUCAUGUGCAUUUAAUCCCAAGAAACCAAGGCAUUUUGAAGGCAACAGUUAGAGGCCAAAUAUGGUGACACAAGUGCAGCAAGAGUGAGGUACACCAAAACACCAAAAUGCAACAAAACUCGGGUACAAACCAAAUUGCAAUUUCAGAGUUUCUAGAAUGAAUGGGGACCACCAACGAUUCUCAAAUAUUCCCUUUUCUGCAUUGCACGAAAUGGGAGGAGGAUUUCACACACAUUCACAUGCCAUCUCACCAACCCUUAGCAAACAAGUUUCCAUUUUCACUUUUUCGGAUUCACACGAUUUCACCCAAAUUUCACAUGUAUGAGGGUACCUGCAACUUGCCUAUAAAUAAUGCAUUAUUUUCCACAAUUUUCCCAAGCUUGAGAUCCAACAAAACCCUGCAGAAAUCACCCAUCCACACUCUUCAAAAUGGAGUAUUCAGUUAGACAUCUUGAGCCAUUUUCAACACAACCUAAGCAUCCAAACACAUUCCUUGAACUUCCCUGAAGCUAACCGGACCAAGAAAACCUCUAAACCAAGCUCACCUAAGCUCUACAACUCCACCGGAAUCCACCUCUGCAACUUUUUCAGCAAGGUAGAAACCACCAUCAUUUCAAUUGAAAUAAGUUACUACCAUGCUCGUUGUGUCCCACUGAUGCUUAACCCCAUGCUUUGAGUUCUUAUUUCUUUACCAUUGCCAUUUAAUUUUUAAAUUAGGGUUUUCUUAUCGUUCGUGUUUGGCUGGAAUUAUCUAUACUCAGAGUCAAUCAAUGGCUCAUGAGUAUGGAGGGAGCAACGAUGAUCAAAGGUGAAGUGGAAUCCAUGUUUGAUUCCACUUGAAACCUCGAGUUGUAGGAGUUGGAUUUCAAGUUUGGCUCGAGGUUAAAGAUGAUGUCACGGCGGUUGCUUCCCGCGUUUCAUUUAAAUUUAAAUAUUUUACAUGGAGUGUGUUGAUUGGUUGUAGGCAGUGAUGUGGCCUCCUGGUCAUGUGUGUUUGGUCAGCGUGUGUGUCUUUGUACCUCUUAAUCUGCGCCUUCCUUUUUGCUUACCUUUUUUUUAAGUAGUCUCAUCCAAGGGUUGGUAGUGGUCUUCCCCACAGCGUGUUUGGGUCUUUAGAUCAGAUCCCUUGGAUCUGAUCACUUGAAGGACCAUGCGUUGACCCCUUGGUCAACCAGGUUGAGUCUUGGGCCUCCAACGUGUUUGGGCUUGGCAGAUUUGCUUUUGGACCUUCUGUUUCAGUUUUGCAUUCCCCCUUUUUCAUUUUAUUUUAUUUUUAUUCCUUUUUAUUUUUAUUUUAAUUGUUUUUAAUUUGUUUUGAUUUCUGAUUUUUUUUCAUCUCUCAGAUUUUAAAUCUUGAUUUUAUUUUUCAUCAAUUAAUUUUGCAAAAUAAUAAUUAAUAUUAUUUUUCAAUUUUUAAUCUAUUUUAUUACCUUUUAAUUGGUUUAAUUUGCAAAGUAAUUUUCAUAAUUAACUUUGCAAAUUAAUUUUGAUUAAAAUGUCUAUUUUAAUUCAAGCAUUUUUCCACAUAACUUUGCAAUUUAAUUUAUAUAUUAGUUUGCAAUUUGAAUGUGAUUUUUGUUUUAUAUUUUGAUUUUGAUUUAAUUUGCAAUUUAAUAAUUAAUAUUAAUAUUGUAAAUUAAUUUCUCAUUUCAUUUUGUUUGAUCCAAUCCCAUUUUUAUUUAUGUAUUGCAAUUUAAUCUUUGUUUUACUUUGCAAUUGAUUUUGUUCUUUCUUUUGUUUAGUAGUUAAUAAUUGAUUAAUUGUAUUUUGAUAGUUGUUUUUGUUGCAAUAAUAAUUUUAUCUAACAUAACUAUUAACUUUUAUCUCCCUCUUAUAUUUUAACUGGUGUUCAUUUUAUGUGGUUGCUUGGUUGAUAGAUCUUCCAUAUUUUAAAUCAUUAAUAGAUGGAUGUUUCGGUUGAUUCAAUCUUCUUUGAUUCAAACUUGUUGAUAAAUGAUCAUUGUAUCAUUUUUGACACUUUAAAUCAAUGAUAGGUUAUACCUUAAUACGCGAUAUCACCUUUUGCAACUUAACUCCUAACAUCUAACAACUAACUUUUACCUUUGGUUAUUAACAUUUUUGUUCAUUUACCUUUAUGCACAAUCAUCAUCCAUCAUCAUCAUCAUCAUCUACUUCAUUAUUGUCAUCUAUCUCAUCUUCAUCUUUAUUUAUGCUUUAGCUAUUGUGUUUUGCUUCUUGUUAUCUAAUCCAUUGAAAAAAUACAAAAAUAUGAUAAAAUGAAAAGACCAAAGAUGUAUCUCAGAUGAAACAUGUUCUUUACAUUAACUUCCAUUUGCUUAUUGUUAUUCUACUAACCACUAACUACUAACUCCUAACAUUUAUAUUAUUGCACUUUAUUUCCUUGCAAUUUAUUUUAUUGCUUAUUUUAUUUUCAAGUACUUUAUGUUUAAAUUUAUUGUUAUCUAACUAUAUCAUUUACAUUAUGCUAACUUAUUGGCUCUCUUACUACCUUACUAAAUAAAAAUAAGUAAGAACAAAACAAAUCAUAAUUUGUUAAAAUAUUGAAAGAUGGACUUAGGGUUGCAUAACUUUCUUUGUUACAAAUCUAUUGUUAGUUGAUUUUUUAAUCAUCUUCAAUACUUUGCAUCAAGGAUAAGCUAUCCCUUAAUGUGUCAUAUUUUGGGUCUUUUUGACCUAUAAAAAAUAGUUCUCAAGAUGUUCAUUUUUGUACAUAUUACUAAUCAUUAAGUAUACUUCACUAACUUUGUUUAUCAUUAACCUUUGUUAUUGUGAUUUUGGUACUACUAACUUGUUAUUUAUUCAAAUGUCGUUUAUAAUCACUAACCAUUAUUAUUGUGAUAUUACCAUUCUUUAUCUUGCAAUUUACUUUUAUGUCAUUGCCUUGUAAUUUACAUUCAAGUACUCAUUACCAUCAUCAUUGUACUAAUUCAUCAUGCAUGUUUAUUUACUUGUUAUUUAUUUCAUUGUCAUCAUACAUUAAAAACAAUAAAAGCAUGAUAAAAUGAUAAGACCAAAAAUAUUCAUUCCACUCUUAAUCAACUUGGACUUAGAGGAUCUCAUCUUAUGACCUUUGCUUGGAGGUCUUCCUUUACUCUUUGUGAUACUUUGUAAACGUUGGAUUUUCAUCCGUAACUUACAUUCAUGUUGUAAGAAUGGCAUCAUGGCACCAUCUUAGGGGGACUUGUUUGUAAGACCAUUAUCCUUUGUUUAACUUAGGUCACUUUUGCACACACAAGGCUUUCUCUUGCACUACCUUACAAUGAGACCCUUUAUUUUCUUUUUGGUUACUUUGCAUUCAUGUUGCAUAAGCCAAAUUUCAUAAUCAAAUAAAUCAAACCCUUGAUUCAACGUGAAGUGACAUUUUCAUAAUCAAAUUCAAAAUACAAUAAAAUUACGAUUAUUAUUGUGCGCCACGAGCCUUGAGUGGCGGAGAAUGAGUAAGAAUGGAGCAUUCCUACCCUUACUCUGAUUAUUUUGGACGCAAGAUGUUUGACUUGUUGUUUAGAAUAAUCGCCCCCGCCCAUAGACUUUAGUGCAAUAUAGUAACAAACAUUCAUUUCAUAAAACCCUUAUUCAAGGUAAAAAUAGUACAACUCAUCAAACUCAUUUUUGUGCCUUAAGGUAUCAUCUCGAAAACCCUUUUCUCAAAGGUAAAAUCAACCAACACACAAAUAUUUUCUACUCUGAACUACGGAACUCUGAUUCCUCAUCCCCGAAUGAGUGAUACGUAGGCACAAGGGCCCCAAUCCUUGGCGAGCACUAUAAUAAUAAACACCCUUUUUUCACACAUAUUCUUUUGAAAAUAAAAGAAUGAUUGAUAAAUCCCCAUGUAUGUAAAACAACCCAAAUGGUUCCCAUGGAGUACCAUGGACGUGAGGGGUGCUAAUACCUUCCCCUUGCGUAACCGACUUCCGAACCCAAAUCUCGAUUGCGAGACCGAUUCCUUAUUCUCUUUUAGCGCUUCCCGUUGGCGUCUCCUUUCCGAGGGUUUUAUCGACUAUUUCCCCCCUCCUCUCCGAUGGAGGUAAAGUAAAUAAAAUUUGGUGGCGACUCUUCUGAUUUUGUCUCUCUUUAGUCCCGGUUUCAUUAUCGUGAAAUCCCGGUAGCGACAACACCCAAACACAAAACCAAGAACAUGACUCAUACCACCAACAAACAUAUGUCGUUGUCGUACCCCAAAAUUUUCCCUCCCCUUUUCAUCUUUUUACUCAACCUAUGGCUUAAGAUUCAUUUGUACCCAUUCAUGCUUCAUUCAUAUGCUACAUGCAUUCAUAUUAAUACAAGUAUCAUAGAUUCAAAGCUUGUGGUUAAUUAGAACUAAUGUGUUACUUGAGUAUUGGAGUUUGACUCAUCAAAUGAGAGGAAACCCUAACUUCAUGACCUUUAGACCUUGGUCCAAGAAGAUUACAAUCAUGACACUCAUUUAUGCAUUCAAACCCUAAUUCCUGAUUUAACCACCCCUUGACCUCAUGAGCUUUUAUCUAUGCAUCUAAAACCCUAAUCAGGGAAGGCAUGAUUCUAUAGUGCCAUGUGGCUUGACUUAUCAUCUUGGGCUUGGUAGAAACCUUGAUUCAUCCAUCAUCUGUAUGCCUACAUGUUUGAUGUUCAUCUGAUACAAACAUUGCCUAGGCCUUUGACUUAAGUCUUUUGGUAUUGGCGGAAGCACUGACCCAUACAUCUUAAUUCAUUAUGGAUAUACAACAGUAUGUGUUUCAUGCCUUAUUUGCAAUCCUAUGAAACCCUAAUUCACGCCUCCUAAUUGACUUUGAUCAACUGUUGACUUUUUGGUCAACCAGUUGACCAAAGUCAACCUUUCCAAUUGUGGUCUUUACAACCUAACUUGUCUUGUAUACAGACAAUUUCCAUAUCAUUUUGACAAUAAUCAAUAAUUAGGUUUUAUAGAUGACAACAUUGGUUAUGUUUUUUUCCAUUGAUUUGCUUCUAUUCACAUUAACCAAGUCAUGAGUAACUAAGGCGUUAAAAGCUUUCAUUCCAUUUCUAAUGGUCAUGUUCAUGUAUACUUUGCAUGUUGAACUUUCACUUUCAAUUUCCAUUAACAUUUCAAUUAAUCUUUUCAAAUCCAAUUGCAAUUUAGUUUUGAAACCAUUUCAAUCAACCUUUUGAAACCAUUUCAAAUUAAAUUUUAAUUAGCAUUUUGACCUUUUAAAUUAAACUUUUCAAAACCACUUCAACAUUGUAAAUCCAUUUUCAAUUAAUUGACAUUUCAAAAACCUUUAUUAGUGUUUAAACUUCCAUUUCAAACUCUUUUUCAACAUUUGCGGCCAUUUAUAAUCAACCAUUCAAAACCAUAAUUAAUUCACAAUAUAUCCACAUUCAUGAUUAACUUCAUACUUUACAAUAAUAUUCAAUACAUUUUCAAUCACAAUUAAUUUCCAAAUUUAAUUCAAACCAAUUUGCAAGACAACUUCCAAGUGCAACCAAAAUUCCAUUACAUUCCAUUUCAAAAGGAAAAAUUAAAUAUACUUUUUUACGAUUAAUUAAAUUAUUUUAUAGAUGAAUGUAUCUAAUAUAUAUCAAAUAGAUAUAUUAAUUUUUAUUUUAUCUAUACCUAUAUAUAAAGGGGAUACAAUGUUUUGGAGUGACUUUUAUUUUUUUCCAAAAUUACCCUUAUAUUAAUUUUUUAAUUUUUUAAUAAAUAAUAAAAUAAAAUUGUGUGAUAAUAACUUCUUGGUAGUUACCACUUGAAUUUACAACAAUAUAACCUCCAUGUUCUUCCAUUUAGAAGUUACAAAUAAUGCAUCAAUAUAACUUCUUGAUAGUUACCACUUGAAUCUACAAAAUUACUAAUUAUUUGCAAAAUUUGUUCAAUUUACUUUUUUGUAUUGUAUUCAGAUUUUAACUGAUUAUGUAAAAUCUAAAAUGGUUUGCCUAUAUCCCAAUUCACUCUCCUUUUAAUUUUUAUCUCCCUUUGAGUUCUUCCUAUUAUUAAACCAUCAUACUUGCUUUAAAGUUGAUUUUAAGGAGGAAAUAUGAGAAAUUUGGGAAAUGAUUUAAUUGAUAAGUGAUUUAGCAUUGAACUUUUACUUUCACCAUUUAAGUUUUUUUUUCUAUCUUUCUAAUAAUUAUAUUUCAUUUUACUUAACCGUAAUUGUUAUUAAAAUAUAUGAAAUUAUAAGUUAAUUUUUAUGUUUUAUACUACAGUUGUGUUUUUAUAUGAGAAACUGAUUUUCCCCUUUAUGUGUUGUUUUAUUGCACAUGAACAUAUAAAUAAUUUUUUGAGAUAAAAAGAGAAGGAGAUGUAAAAAAGAGAAGGAAAAGAGGGAAGAUUUUGGAUUUUGAGUGACAUCAACAUGGAAGCUAUUAUCAAGAGAAAUAUAGAAUAUGGCUGCCAACCCCUAACACAUUGAUAUUAACCGGAGAGAUCUUUCAUGUUGGUGGCAUUAAUGACCAUACGACAUAUAUUUUUCUCAAUUUCUCACAAUGUUAACACAAAGAUGCCAAUGUUUUCACAUUGAUCAAAUUUAACAUUAGUAUGAUGAUCAAGAAGAAACAAACUCAUUAUAAUGAUAACGACAGAUAUGCCCAUGUUUUUUUUGUUUUCAUUUGAGAUUCAGUGUAAUGAUCAACUAUUGCAUAUUCUCAUUGAUGAUUUAUUUGUUUGUAUUAUAUGAUAUUUUUAAAUCUAUGUCCACAAUUUUCUUAUUUGAGUUUUACCAUUAAUUGUUUUAAAGAACAAAUAUAACAUGCCUAUAAUUACCAAAUUUGCUAAAGCAUAUAGUCUAUUAUUUCAUUAAGUUUGUUGAUUCAAUUUAUUUUACAUUAUUAUAUUUCUGAUUUUUACGGCAUAUAGUAUUACAUAAUAGUUGAUUAAUGAUUACUAUUUGUCAUUUUAAUGACAUUUAUCUUGAGAUAUUUUUUCUACUACAAAUCCUUCUAUCUAUAUUUGAUUCUGAUUCAUAUAAUUUUCCGUCUUUCUUUUCUAUUUAGUUAAAAAUCGAAAUAGAUUUAUGGACAGAAAAUUGUUUUACGUGUGUGCAUACUAAAAAGACGGAGAGAGAUUAUAAAUUAAGAUAAAUAAUAGGAGAGAUAUGAUGCUAAGAAAAAGAAUAGGAAACAAUUUAAAACAAUUUAGAAUUUAACAACUUAGAAGUACAAUAUGAUUUUUAAUUAUUAUAAUAUGCCAUUUGUAUUAUUAAAUUGGUUCCUAGACAACUUAGAAGUACAAUAUGAUUUUUAAUUAUUAUAAUAUGCCAUUUGUAUUAUUAAAUUGGUUCCUAGAAUUUAACACUGAAGUAUUUCAGAGAACCUAUGACAUCUUACUUUAAAUUCUAAUAAAAUCUAAUUAGUGUAUCUAUAACUAUCUAUAAUGGGGAUAUGAUAUUUUGAAGUGACCUAUUUUCAUUCCAAUUAUAUCUUUAUUUCAACCAACCCAUUAUUCAUGGAUUACUCUUACUAAUCAAAAUAUUCAACUUCCUCAUUUAAUUUAAUUAAAACAAAUAGUAUUAUCAUGAGUAUCAUACACACCACACUCAUCAAAAACAAAAUAAAAAUUAAAAAUUUAGAGAGAACGAAAGGGAAAAAGAAGAAAAAAAUGCAUGUUCUUAGUAUUGGAUUUAGUGAUUCAGGAGUUUAUUACCGUCUUUCAAAAAUUUAAUGCAGGCUUCCCAAUUAAGGCAAGUAGGAUCGAGCAAGACGUGGGGGCGUAAAAGUUUAUUUGAUCAUUUCUUAUUUUGACAUGCUUUUCGAGAUAUGGUGGUGCAUAAGAUGAGAUUUUCGAGAUAUGGUGGUGCAGAAGAUGAUAGAUUAUAGAUUUGUUAACUAUCAAGUGCUUUUCUUAUAGCUUUGAUUAUGUACUACUUAUUAUUUUCAUGAUUAUCAAAACAUUAUAUGCAAAUACUUUCUUUUUUUUAUCAUGUUUCAUAGAUUUAUUGGCCACCGUAGCAUCCGACACUAUUGCAAGUGAAUUAAAUACCGAUUAUAUUUGCAACAUUUUUGCUGAUGUUCUUUAUAAUGUUGGUCAAUAGUGUGAAAUGAAAGGAAAAUAGUAGAUUUAGAAAAAAAUUAGAAAAUAAAAAUAGAUAUUCAAAUGAAAAUAGGGAGAAAUUUAAUAAUACAAAAGAUAAAAUUGGUUGGAAAAGAUAGGAAUAUUUAUUUAUUUAUAUAUAAUUAAGAUGAUAAAUAUUCACUUUCAAUAUGUUACAGUAAAAUUAUUACUUAAAUAUGAGACAGAGAGAGAGGUGUUCCACCUUUUUUAAAGUUGAUUUCUCAAAUUUAAGUCAUAAUUUACUAAAACAUGUUGAAAGUGAAUAUAUAUCAUCUUAAUUUUAUUUUUAUGAAAUGUGUCAAAGUAAUAUUCUUUUUAUCAUGACAUAUGUGAAAAAUAUCAUAAAAGAUAUACACACGUAAGCGCACUAAAAAAAACGGACAGACGGACACGGGAGUAAAAACAAAAACUCGGUGUAGCGCAAUAAGGAGACUUGAAAAUGGCCACGGGCUCGAAUUAGAUUUUCUUGAUCCCACAUUGCUUAGCUGAGAUAUAUUUUGAAUGUAUUCUUUGAUGAUAUGAUAUUUCUUCAUGUAUUUGUAGUUUUUUAAAUCUCAAGAGCGCAUUAAUAAAAGGGUGUAUGAAGAAUUGAUUUGAAUCUUUAUAAGGUAAAAAAAGCUAUAUUACACUACUUACUAUUAAUUUUACUAUCUUUUUCUCUAUAAAAAAUUCUAAUUUGAGAGUCUUACAUUUUUGGUUUACUAUGGAAAAUAAUUGCAAUGAAAAAGUAAAUACUUCGAAUAAAGAUUUCAUGUUCGGCAUUCCUUUUAAAGAAGGUCAUUGAUUACACAAUACCAAUAGUACUUUGCAUGAUUCAAUAUAAUUUUGAAUAUCUUUGUUUACCAUUUUCAAAGUGUAAUAAUAUUAUUUUUAAUAUGACGUAUUAUACAAACCUUAUAAAAAGAAAAACAAACAUUUAUUUUUCUCUGCUGUGCGCAUUAAAAAAAGCGGACAGCCGGGCACGGGAGUACCCGUUUGAACGCUAGUUUUUAUAAAGCACAUGUAAUGAAUAUCUAAUUCAUAAAGAGCAUUAAAUAUACAACAUUAAAUUUAAUUUUGAAUUUAAUGUCUAUGUUAGAUGAAAAAAAUAACUUGUAGAUAUAUUUUUUAAAAAAAAAAUUUUGACUAGAGGGGAUAUCAUUACAUGUCAUACCUUAAUUUUAUCCUUUUCAUAUCUCUAAUCUUUUAAUUUUUUUUGCAAAGUAUCUCUUGCAUUUUUAGAUCUAUGUCAAUUUGAAUUUAGGAUCAAUUUGACUAUGGCUGCUCAUUUCAUCCAAUUUGAUUUGCAUUUUCUAUAAUAAUAGGUCUUAUAUGCCGUUGAUUAUUAUUCAUAUAUCACUUUGCAUACUAUCAUUCAAGUUGGAAUUUUAGGUCAUUAGGACUAAGUUCCUUUUCAACAAAGUCUUGCAUUUUACUAUAGUUUCUUCUUUACAUGAUAUCAUCAUAUGGUCUAGUCCUUUUAUAAUACCACAAUUAUCAUUUGAAGUCAAGUUUGAUUUAUAUUAUGAUAUUGAUCAUUUGAUUUAAAGUAAAUAAGUCACAUUGAGCCUUGAUUUUUUUUAUCUCAUCCACACAUUGCAUUUGACCCAUGUUAGGUAAAGAAGUAGAAAAAAAAUUGGAUAAUUGAAUUAAGUUUGAUUAGGUUUAUUUUAUUUAAAUUUGGUCACAACUUGCACAUAUGUUGCAAAAAAAAAAGUUAUGCAUUACAUAAUUCACCUCAUCGCGUACAUUUUAACAACAAUAUAAAAUUUAAAAAAAAAAGUCAAGGUUUGUUUAAGUUCCACACAUGAGUUCCGUGAUUGGCUUAACAGCGUCAUCACCAUCUCAUACCAUUUUCCUCAUCACACUACGCCAAAAAUGACUUUUAACAGCGCAUCUUAGACAUCGCUUUUAAAAGAAAGCGCUGUCUAAGGUUAAAAUUAAAAUAAAACACGGAAAAUGUUCCAAGAAAAUAAUGAAAGCGCUGUCUAAGACCCCCCCUUAGACAGCGCUUUUAGAAAGCGCUUUUAAAUAUAGACCCUUAGUCCAGCGCUUUUGAUAAAGCGCUGUCUAAAGUCUUUAAAUUAAAAAAAAAAUAAAAACCAAAAGCGCUGUCUAAGGGGGGGUUUAGAA
rnacentral:lncRNA from 1 species